rnacentral:sRNA from 1 species
ACGCGGGCGGCGUGCACAGGCGGAGAGCAGCGGAGGGAUCAUUACCGAGUUUACAACUCCCAAACCCAAUGUGAACGUUACCAAACUGUUGCCUCGGCGGGAUCUCUGCCCCGGGUGCGUCGCAGCCCCGGACCAAGGCGCCCGCCGGAGGACCAACCAAAACUCUUUUUGUAUACCCCCUCGCGGGUUUUUUAUAAUCUGAGCCUUCUCGGCGCCUCUCGUAGGCGUUUCGAAAAUGAAUCAAAACUUUCAACAACGGAUCUCUUGGUUCUGGCAUCGAUGAAGAACGCAGCGAAAUGCGAUAAGUAAUGUGAAUUGCAGAAUUCAGUGAAUCAUCGAAUCUUUGAACGCACAUUGCGCCCGCCAGUAUUCUGGCGGGCAUGCCUGUCCGAGCGUCAUUUCAACCCUCGAACCCCUCCGGGGGGUCGGCGUUGGGGAUCGGCCCUCCCUUAGCGGGUGGCCGUCUCCGAAAUACAGUGGCGGUCUCGCCGCAGCCUCUCCUGCGCAGUAGUUUGCACACUCGCAUCGGGAGCGCGGCGCGUCCACAGCCGUUAAACACCCAACUUCUGAAAUGUUGACCUCGGAUCAGGUAGGAAUACCCGCUGAACUUAAGCAUAUCAAUAAGCGGAGGAAAAGAAACCAACAGGGAUUGCCCCGUUAACGGCGAGGG